CUGGUUUUGCUGUGGAGUACUGCUUCAAGCUUUCAACCUCGCAGCUGCCACUUGUGAUCACUCCUUUCGCCAACACGUACGCGUCGGUGGGGAGCUUGACCUAUGUCACGGAUGUGCAUCCCUGUUAGCUUCGUCCAUAGCUGGAGUGGUAGAUCGAGUCUGCAAAAGAACUCGCAGGUGGUGGAUUAGGUUUCGUUUGCUUGUUUGGUCGGACUGGGACACCGAGGUUGUAGUCCAAGCUCAAGGGACAACAGCAGAAGCAGGCCUUGAACAAGGGCCGAGCUCAUCAUUUGGGCUUCCACUUUCUGGAUUAAUGAGUAUGGAUGUGAUGAAAGGAGUACCACCUUCCCAUUUACUCCCCUCUUACAAGCUCUGAACAGUACGGCAGAUGGAGAGAGAGAGAGAGCGCGUAAUCAUGCAGAGGACUCCCACCACCAGCAGCAGCAUGAUAAAGAAGCUACCGAGUCAUAAUUUAAGAUAGACCGAGGAGGAGGAGAAGCUGGCGGAAGCAGGAGAGGCUGUAAUGGCCAAGGAGGAAGAGAGCUUGCCUUGCCGAUCCUUCGGCCGUCGGUGUCGGCUGCAGGCCAAAGAGCAGAAGGCCAGGUUCUACAUACUUCGGCGAUGCAUCAUGAUGCUGAUGUGCUGGAGAGAGCGCGGAGAAACUCGAUAGUCUAUGUACUGCUUGAUCUGUGCACCAGCUUUGCUCACAUGACAUGCAGGUCCUCACAUAAACAUAUUGGACAUAUAUAUCUCUAUACAUCAUGAGACAAUGUUAGUGUAUUCAUCUUUUCUUGUGACUUGCCAUGCGUGUCUUGCUUAGUAUUAGUAUUUCGCUCAUCAUCCUUGUUUCUUUUUGAGGUUGCUGUCCCUUCUCGUUUCCCCUAAACAACUGUUUGAGCACUGGUUUGGAUGUGUU